CCUCGUCGUCCUCGUCGUCCUCGUCGUCCUCGCAAAUGCGGACUCAGAGCAAAGCAGCUCCCUUUGGCACGGGGAGGAGCGCCGCUAACUCGACCACGCUCGCUCCCGUGAGGCGGCUCGCUUGCCGGCGAUCUCCGACGGACGGCUCGCUAGGAGGGCUUCACCCGACGGCUGCGGGCUGCGGGCUGCGGGCUGUGGAUGCGAUGGCAGUGGAUGCAAGUGAGCAGUCCCGUGAGAAGCUCCUUGUUUGCCAAGUUCCUGCCGUGAGGCUGUAGGACCGAGGCCCUCUUUAGCGCACCGCUACAGAGCCAUAGGAAUCUGGGAUGCUUCUGCACACGUACGGCUUGCUGUGCUCUGAUGUUAGCAAUGGAGGCGGGGAUUUGGGAUUUGGGAUUUGGGAUUUGGGAUUUGGCCUUUGGCCUUCGGCCUUUGGCCGGGGAGGGUUUGCUUGCAGACAGAGGCUGACACACACUGAGCUGAGCUGCAGCGUUCACGUUCAGGACGUCCAGACUGCAGCUUUCCCACAUGCUGCACAAACAUGGAGCUGCUCACUCCAGAGCCGUAGGACUGCAUGCCCCCAGUUAUAUUAAUCUUUUCAUUUCUGUGCAGCUCACACCCCUUCUCAGCCAUGGCAAAAAUAAAAGAAAUGUGCUAACAGGAUAAUUUGAAAUGAGAAAAUGGAACCGAGGGAGCUUGUGAAAGAGGAGAUCCUUGAGACAAAGCGCAGUGCCAGCCAGAAGCUCAGCCUCGGAUACCUGCACGUGGCCGUCAGACAGAAGAUGGGCAUGAAGACGAGAGCAGAGACAGACCCUACAUUGCACCAAGGCCACGUCAGCUAUGCAGGAGACAGUGGACCUGCAAAUGCAACAAGAAACAGGAAGCUCUUCUUUAACGUCCGUUGUUGCCUUCGUCCUCCCAGCGGCUUCUCCUGCAAGAAGAUGUGGAUGAAGAUCAAGUGAGCACCAGGCUGCCGCCAUAUGUGCAGGAACACCUGCAGAAUAAAAAGUCCUGUUCACCAGAGAUGUACCGCUCCUCUUUGCACCCCGGGAAGCAGGCUGGAGGGGAUUGGGCUCUGGGUGUUGCACCCCACCUGAGGGAGAAUGUACGCACUUCCAGAGGGCAGCCCCCAGCCAAGCAGCACCACCCUGGGAAGCCUCAGCUUCAGCCAAGAGCUGGGGGACAAACAGGGGCUCAAGUGCUGAGCAGAGCCUAGGGAACAGAGAACUGGCUUGGGAGCACUGGGGGGUUCCACCACCUGCCAGGAAGCACCCACACUGCGCUUACCAGAACAGAGAGCUUCACGCUGUUGGGCAGCUUCUGGCAUUUCUUGCUCACAACCUCCAGCAGAAGCCAGCUGCAUCACUGCACCUUCCCUGCCGGUGGAGGAGGGCAGGCAAGGUGCAGCUGCCCCCAGGAUGCCGUGUCCCCAGGCACCCCCUACCCCCACGGGAGCAGGGAGGUGCCCCACAGCAGGAAGCAGCACCAGGACCCCAAGUCCUGUUAGGAAGGAAGUGCUGCUGCACCAACAGCCCUGCACCACUGCUCCCCAUACCUCUCUGUUCCCAUUGCAGCCGCUCCGUCCUCCUGGAGAGCAGUGGGCAAGAGUCUUCAGUGCUGCAAGACCAGAACAAAGCUGCAGGGUGGGGGCCCAACCCCCGGGGGAGGGGGGGGUGGUUAGGAACCUGGCACCCGGCACCCCAUCACCCCGCACACAGGAGGAGGGGUGCCGGGAGUGCUUUUGUCCUCUACCUAGCACCCAGCCUCAGCCACAAACGCUGGAGACGCAAGGACAGGGCUCACAUCCUGCAGAGCUGGGAACAGCUUUGCUGCGCUCCAGUCCUCACUGCAGCCCCAGAGCUGCAGGAAGAAGAACUCUGUGAGCCACCUGCAGAGGGAUGCUGGGCUGGCAGCCCCUGCAGCAAGGUGCUUAGGAUUUGACCUCUGAGUGGAGAUUUCCUUACAAGCACUAUCACCUUAGAGGUCACCUCAUAUAGCAUCUUCCGGGUGAAGAAGGAUGCUGUGGAAAACCUCCAAGGCCCUUUCUAGGUGAAUGGUGUCAUCUGGUCUCUUCCCAAGGAG
ensembl:lncRNA